AGUAACGGCGAGUGAAGCGGGAAGAGCUCAAGCUUAAAAUCUGCGGCGCUUGCGUCGUCAGAAUUGUAGUUGAGAGAAGUGCUUUCACCGUGACGACCGAUGGCCUAAGUUGCUUGGAACAGCACGUCAUAGAGGGUGAGAAUCCCGUCUGUGGUUGGUCGGUCCAGCGGAACGAUGCACUUUCGAAGAGUCGGGUUGUUUGGGAAUGCAGCCCAAAAUGGGUGGUAAACUCCAUCUAAAGCUAAAUACUGCCACGAGACCGAUAGCGAACAAGUACCGUGAGGGAAAGAUGAAAAGCACUUUGAAAAGAGAGUUAAAAGCACGUGAAACCGUUGAAAGGGAAACGCGCUCGGCUAGCAAUGCACGUCAAUGGUUCAGCCGGCUAGUCUUGUCGAGUCGCCGCUUGAUGGAUCCGAACGGACCGCGGGUGGUGGCAUCGGUGGGCGAGCUGUGGUGCACUCCGUGGGCGUGCGCGUCAGCGUCGGUUCUCGACGGGCGAUGAGGUGCGUGCGGGGAAGGUAGCUCGGUCCUCGGACGGAGUGUUAUAGACCCGCUCGGCGCUGGGCUCGUCGUGGGACCGAGGAGAGAGAUGAUCGUUGCGGCGCCUGCUUAGCUAGCCAGCCGCUGUCGGGUGCGGCGUCACGCGUCGAGGACUGCACGCAGUGCUUGGUGCGGAGGCGUGAUCCGGCGGUGGUGUGGGCAUAGAGGCGCCUAGGACGCUGGCGUCCAAAUGGCCGUGCGCGACCCGUCUUGAAACACGGACCAAGGAGUCUAACAUGUGCGCGAGU
rnacentral:rRNA from 1 species